GUGUUGAAAGGAUAACCAGUUCCAAGAGAAAGAAAGUCUUUGAAAAGCAACUUCAACUCCACAUUCUCCACCUCCCUCCAAGGCCAGAUGGUCUGUGAGGGCUUUGUCCCCUGGUGCCGGGGCUGCCUUCCCGUCCCUGGGACUCUCCUCUCCAUUGCAGACCCUCACAUCCACCACCGGCCUUGAUCCUUGGGGACCGUGCCUCAUCUGCAGCAUCCAGGGUCACUGGAAAAAUGACUGUCCCUCCGCGCCUGGCCAUGGUGGGCCAGUCCUUCCAGCCCCUGAAACUCUUGCCACUGGCGGUCUUGGGUUUGGCGGCAGAGGACUGAAGAGGCCUGGACUCAUCGACCCCAAUAAUCUUUGAGGAGCCCAGGAUAUCAG